UUCUUGGAAUGACACUACGGAAUCACGCUAGGCUAGCUUUGCACAGGAAUGUCAAGAUGAAGAUGAUGAAGACGGAUGAAGAUGAUGAAGAUGGAUGAAGAUGAUGAUGGUCGGUGUAAAACAGAAAAAGUAAGGUUCACAAGAUUUGAAGAUGGAUGAAGAAGAUGAAGAUGAAGAUGGAUGAAGAUGAUGCGGUGUUGAGAGUUGAGAGAGAGAUUUGGAGAUUUUUUGAGAAGUGUGAUGAUGAUGAUGAUCGAUAGAUGGAUUUGAGGUAUUUAAUCAGGAUUUUAAUUA
rnacentral:lncRNA from 1 species